GGCUUUGGAACCCGGAAGCAGUUGGCAGCUCUCGAAAGCGGCCGCGGAUCGGGGAAUUCUGCUGGCGCCACCGCUGCAGAAUGUUGGAGAAGCAACAUAAUGAAGUGGUUGAGAAUCUGCUGUGGCGCCAGGAGAGUUACUGCAAUUACUAAAGACAAUUUGGAGAACGGAAGUUUUGUGUGCCAAUUUUCAGUGUGAAAAAACAGUUGGAUGUAAAGAAAAGUAAAUUCUGUGAAGCUGAUGUCUCCAAUGACCUUCGAAAAGAAGUAGAAAAUCAUUAUAAGCUCUCUUUACCUGAAAAUUUCUUUCACUUCUGGAAGUUCUGUGAAGAACUUGAUUCUGAAAAACCAGCUGAUUACUUUUGAUGAAAAAAACGUAAAGAAGUUAACAGAUGAAAAGAAAACCAAUCUCUUGAAAAACAUAGAUGAAAAACUCACAGAAACAGCCAGAAAACUGGGGUACUCACUGGAACGGAGAACCAUGAAGAUGAAACAGAGAGAUAAGAAAUAUUUUCAUAAAGUUGCUGGCCAGCUUUUACCUCUUGCAUAUAAUCUGUUGAAGAGGAAUCUGUUUGCAGAAACUAUUAAGGAUCAUCUGGCAAACAGAAGUAAAGAGAACAUAGACCAACUUGCUGCAUGAGUAAGGUGGCUUGUUUGGUGUACAGUAUU